AUUCGGAGCGAGUGGCGAACUGGUGAGUAACACGUGGGUAACCUGCCCCGAAGCGGGGGAUAACAUUUGGAAACAAGUGCUAAUACCGCAUAAUUAGUUGGAACCGCAUGGUUCCAACUUGAAAGAUGGCUCUGCUAUCACUUUGGGAUGGACCCGCGCCGUAUUAGUUAGUUGGUGAGAUAAAAGCCCACCAAGACGAUGAUACGUAGCCGACCUGAGAGGGUAAUCGGCCACAUUGGGACUGAGACACGGCCCAGACUCCUACGGGAGGCAGCAGUAGGGAAUCUUCCACAAUGGACGAAAGUCUGAUGGAGCAACGCCGCGUGAGUGAUGAAGGUUUUCGGAUCGUAAAACUCUGUUGUUAAAGAAGAACAAGUGUUAGAGUAACUGUUAACACUUUGACGGUAUUUAACCAGAAAGCCACGGCUAACUACGUGCCAGCAGCCGCGGUAAUACGUAGGUGGCAAGCGUUGUCCGGAUUUAUUGGGCGUAAAGCGAGCGCAGGCGGUUUUGUAAGUCUGCUGUGAAAGCCCUCAGCUCAACUGAGGAAGUGCAGUGGAAACUACAAAACUUGAGUACAGAAGAGGAAAGUGGGAACUCCAUGUGUAGCGGUGAAAUGCGUAGAUAUAUGGAAGAACACCAGUGGCGAAGGCGGCUUUCUGGUCUGUUACUGACGCUGAGGCUCGAAAGCAUGGGUAGCGAACAGGAUUAGAUACCCUGGUAGUCCAUGCCGUAAACGAUGAAUACUAGGUGUUGGAGGGUUUCCGCCCUUCAGUGCCGCAGCUAACGCAUUAAGUAUUCCGCCUGGGGAGUACGACCGCAAGGUUGAAACUCAAAGGAAUUGACGGGGGCCCGCACAAGUGGUGGAGCAUGUGGUUUAAUUCGAUGCUACGCGAAGAACCUUACCAGCUCUUGACAUCUUCUGCCAACCCAAGAGAUUGGGCGUUCCCUUCGGGGACAGAAUGACAGGUGGUGCAUGGUUGUCGUCAGCUCGUGUCGUGAGAUGUUGGGUUAAGUCCCGCAACGAGCGCAACCCUUAUUAUUAGUUGCCAGCAUUUAGUUGGGCACUCUAGUGAGACUGCCGGUGAUAAACCGGAGGAAGGUGGGGACGACGUCAAAUCAUCAUGCCCCUUAUGAGCUGGGCUACACACGUGCUACAAUGGAUGGUACAACGAGUCGCGAAACCGCGAGGUCAAGCUAAUCUCUUAAAGCCAUUCUCAGUUCGGAUUGCAGGCUGCAACUCGCCUGCAUGAAGUUGGAAUCACUAGUAAUCGUGGAUCAGCAUGCCACGGUGAAUACGUUCCCGGGCCUUGUACACACCGCCCGUCACACCAUGAGAGUUUGUAAC
rnacentral:rRNA from 2 species